GACGAACGCUGGCGGCGUGCUUAACACAUGCAAGUCGAACGGAAAGGCCCUGCUUUUGUGGGGUGCUCGAGUGGCGAACGGGUGAGUAACACGUGAGUAACCUGUCCUUGACUUUGGGAUAACUUCAGGAAACUGGGGCUCAUACCGGAUAGGAGCUCCUGCUGCAUGGUGGGGGUUGGAAAGUUUCGGCGGUUGGGGAUGGACUCGCGGCUUAUCAGCUUGUUGGUGGGGUAGUGGCUUACCAAGGCUUUGACGGGUAGCCGGCCUUAGAGGGUGACCGGCCACAUUGGGACUGAGAUACGGCCCAGACUCCUACGGGAGGCAGCAGUGGGGAAUAUUGCACAAUGGGCGGAAGCCUGAUGCAGCAACGCCGCGUGCGGGAUGACGUCCUUCGGGUUGUAAACCGCUUUCGCCUGUGACGAAGCGUGAGUGACGGUAAUGGGUAAAGAAGCACCGGCUAACUACGUG
rnacentral:rRNA from 1 species